CAGCCGUAAACUAUGCGCGUUAGGUGUAUCGGUGACCACGAGUUACCGAGGUGCCGAAGGGAAACCGUGAAACGUGCCGCCUGGGAAGUACGGUCGCAAGGCUGAAACUUAAAGGAAUUGGCGGGGGGAGCACCACAACAGGUGGAGCCUGCGGUUUAAUUGGACUCAACGCCGGACAACUCACCGGGGACGACAGCAAUAUGUAGGCCAGGCUGAAGACCUUGCCUGAAUCGCUGAGAGGAGGUGCAUGGCGUAGACGUCU
rnacentral:rRNA from 1 species